CUUGAUUGUAAAGUUCUUUAUUUAGGAAAAAAGCGUGCUAGGAAAUGAGUGCGCCUUGAUGGUACUAAUUGAAUAAGUGACAGCUAACUAUGUGCCAGCAGCUGCGGUAAAACAUAGGUCACGAGCAUUAUCCGGAUUUAUUGGGCGUAAAGGAAGCGUAGGCGGGGAGGUUGAUCCAUUGUUAAAAGCAUUUGCUUAACAAAUGUGUGCAUUGGAGAUCGCCUCCCUAGAGUUAAUCAGGGGGUACUGGAAUUCAAUGUGUAGCGGUGGAAUGCGUAGAUAUAUUGAGGAACACCAGAGGCUAAGGCGAGUGCCUAGGAUAUAACUGACGCUGAGGCUUGAAAGCGUGGGGAGCAAAUGGGAUUAGAUACCCCAGUAGUCCACGCCGUAAACGAUGAGCAUUGGGCAUUUGACAUCUGGUCGAGUGCUGUAGCUAACGCGUUAAAUGCUCCGCCUGGGUAGUAUAUAUGCAAAUAUG
rnacentral:rRNA from 1 species